AUCAAGAUUAAUUAUAUUUAAUCUUGUGCUACAAUCAUUCCUGAUGGUUUGUCCAAUUCCAUCAUUAGAUUGUGAACUCAAACUUUAUACUUAUAUGAACCGAUGAUUUAAUCUUCCGUGUAUAAGCUAAACUCUAUACACUAAAUCAUCUACUAUAUAAGCAAAGGACACAGACUAUUAUAUGAUCUAUUUAAAACUUUAUUAAAACUGAAUAAACAAUUAUUUCAUAAUAAAUACUAUAUCUAAACCAAACUCAUGGUUAAUAGUAUAUAUCCCAACAGAAGUCAACUGAGAUAUCUCAAUUAUAUAAGUAUGUUAAUAUUUAGUUCUAUUUAUGGAAAACCUUUUGUCUCUGACUGAAAUUUAGGAAUUUCGAUGUUUAUGAUUAUAUCCUUCAUUUAUACUCUUAGGCAACCUAUCGGACGAUCCCUUUUAGUGUGUCCUUGAAGGUGAGUUUGCGUUUUAUUUUCUUUAUUGGACGUAUUUUUAGCAGUUCAAUAAAAAGAGAAAAUAUCAUUGAUCCUUGCAAUAUCAAGAAGUAUGAUCUUUCUACGACUAUGCGAUAAGAGUGAAUCAAGUAGACAGCUUUAGGCCUUGAUAGUCGCAUUUUACUGUACAUUAGCUAAUAAGAAGAGAUUGUGAGAGUGAUUGAAAGAUAUUACUAAAUUAUUAGUCUUCGACAAACUGUUUUCUUACAACCCUCAUAAAAAAUUAUGUAGGUUUAAUUUAUCUUACCUUCUCCAAAAACAAAAAAAGGAAGUAUGAAUUUUCUAAACGAUCAGAUAGUGUUGUCUAUAAAAGGUCCAAAAAUAUGAUGAAGUUUAUUCUUACGUGUGUUGAUACCAUAGCAGUUGGAUUCUAAAGGAUUCAAGAAAGACAAUGAUUUUAAGCUGUAAAUACAAUUUCAUAAGUGUGAAAUUUUUUAAUGUAAAAUGGUGGCACAACUACGAUAAGUGAGUUGGCUAGCUUUCACCUGGUAAAAAAUUAGUCCUUUUUUCUUUCUGUUUCAACCAGUUUCUAAGUUGUCAGUAUUAUGAUAUGCCAUUUUUAUUUUUCAGGUAUUUAAUAGAUGUGAUGAUCUGAUUAGAUAGACAACUAUUAUACUUGCUAUAAUUACCUUUGCUUGAAGAUCUCAUUAUAAGAUAAAUAAAUAUUUGCAGCAAGAUUUUUGCACUACAAAUGUUCUGCUAUAUAAAAUACAAUACUCAUCUUUAUAAAAAAUAGAAUAUAAUAGUCACUCAAGAAGCAGGUAAGCUUGACUUUUCGAUACAUGUGGUCGCAUUAGGCGUUCUAUGCAGGUCUUGCAAAUGAAGUCAGCACUUUUAAUUAUUUGCAGUUUGAAUUAGCACUUCCAACAGAUGUAUGUUCUCUAAGGUUAUUGCUAAAUCUUUUACCAUUACUCUAAUUCCUCUUUAUAGAUAAUUUUGGAUGCUGAAACUUAAAAUAUAGUACGUGAGAGGCAUCGUCCUGCAACUCAAGAACUUAAUGUAGUAAUGUCUUCAUCACAGAAGCUUAUUGGUUAACUAAAUACUUGCACAUCCUUUGUAAAAUAAGAUAGUUGCACCCUAUUCUAUCGUCAAUUGCAAAUCCAAAGAUAUCAAAUCUCACCUACUAAAAUAUUUGAAAAAUUCAUUCUACUCUGUCCAACAUUUGUGUCCAAAAAUUUAUUCUACUCUGUCCAUUAAUAUGGUCUAUUUACAAGUAAAGAUCUUUAAAUGAGAGGAAGGAGUGCUCAGAUUUCUCAAGGAGAUACAACGAUCCUGAAUGAUAACACAAAAAUCAUGCAAAAUAUUUGACUAUGCUGAUUAUGAGAUGGUAACCUAUUCUAUCUGGUUCAUCUUUACCUAUCAUGUGGUUUCUAAAUCAGUAUGUUAUUCAUGAAGUAGGGAUCAUUGAUUCUUUUAGUUGCUGGAGUUGCCCUCUCCUAUGCUGCAGCUUGGAAAUUGAAUUCUUUUUUCUGACUGACGAGAAAACUCUUCGAGGUCCAUGAUUUUCUGCUUGAUUUUCGCAAUACAUAUUUUUCUAAGUGUAGUAGUAAUUGGCCAAUGUAUUCUGCGUAAUGGGUUGGGAAAAAAGGAAGGUUUUUGCAUAUAAUCUCCUUUGUCACUCUACUAAUUUAGGAUUUAGGAUUUAGGCUGGCUAUUUCUACAAGUAUGUGACUUCUUGUUAUGUGUGUUGUAGUUUUUUCUCCUCAAAUAAUCUGUGUAACUGUAUGUCUUGGAGUUUUUCCUGCCACGUUUAAAAUUUAUUUGGUUAACAGUAUAGUAAGCCUAUAAGAUGUGCUUGUAAGCCACAUUUCUUUUGCUUUGCUUGGAGCAGUGAGGUUAUGACUCUUUCUGUUGAUGACCUUUGUUAAUGGAGUCUCUGUAAAAGUUAACCCUUUUCUUCUUUCUUUUUUUUUUUGAAAAGGUAACCCUUUUGUUCUUUCGUGGAACUUCCAUACUUAUGUAGAAUUUUGGAUGUCAUAAUCCUGUGUGAAUUUGAAAAUCUUCUUAUAAAUGAGCGCAUGUGUGUGCAGUGUAUAUUAGCUCUGACUCCCUGAAUCAUUGUAUUAUCAGUAGAUAGAUCAUUGUUCUUUUCACUAUUGAAAAUGCACAGGCUAAAGUGUAUCUUUGGGAAUUUAUUUCUAUUAAUGUUCAAGGGGUAGUAUAUUUAGCCUUCUGAAUAAAUGUUCAAUUGGAAUGCUUUAAAUUCUUUCUGUUGCCUUAUAGAUUAUUUGUGGCUGGCUUUCCUUUUCCUUCCCUUCACUUUUUCCCCCUUCAUUUUUCCAGUUUUAUUUGGUGGUUUUGUGUACUUCCACGCUAUAUUGAUUCAAUCCUUUAAAAAGUAGAUGAUAAUUCAAUUGCUCUCACUUUAAUAAUGUAGGUUGUAGAUCUGGUACUAAAGUUUAUGCGCAUAAUCCUUUCUUGGUUCAUAAUUCAUUUUUCAUUUUACAAAUUAUUCUCUAUGCACCUGUAAUUGAUUCAUUUUUAUUCCUAUUACUCUUUUGAAUGCAGUGCCCUCCAGAUCUUUAACUUGUGAAAUGUAAUCGGAUUAUCCAAGGAUAAUUUUUCUCCAAAAUCCAUUACUUCUUCGGUGACUAUCCAGAUUUAACGCGUUGAAGGGCUUUCCCACUUAACAUCUAUUUAUUGUAGUUCUAAUGUAUGUUAGUUUUCCCUCAAGCAUGGACAUACGUAUAGUUGGCUAUUCUUAAUAUUACAUAUGGAUGAAUAUGCUUUUGUAUAUGUAUUUUGUGGAGGGAAGUGGUGGACUGAGUGAUGGACACUUGUAAAUGGUGACUGCGAAUAGAUUUUACAGUCAUAAAAGUAUAUUAUAGUGUUGCAGUAGAUGUUGGAUAAUCAAAGUCAAUAAUUUGUUGGACUUGAUUGUAAUUUUAUCCAAGCACUAUGGUUGUGAUCUUUUUUCACUUAUAUGUUGUAGAGCUUUGCUCAUCGUAUAUAGUAUGAAACUUUAACAUGUUGGUUGAAAAUAUGUUUUUGC
rnacentral:lncRNA from 1 species